rnacentral:rRNA from 2 species
UUUAAAAAGAGGUAGGGCCUGCUCACUGAUUAAUUAAAGAGCCGCGGUAUAUUGACUGUGCUAAGGUAGCAUAAUAAUUUGUCUUUUAAUUGAAGACUAGAAUGAAUGGUUUAACGAGAAAUUAGCUUUUUUGGGAGUAACAUUUUGAAUUUAAUUUUUUAGUGAAAAAGCUAAAAUAUAAUAAAAAGACGAGAAGACCCUAUAGAGUUUUAUAUUGUAACCAUUUGAUUUUUAGUAGAACAAAAAUUCUCAAAUGAUUAAAAUAUUUUGUUGGGGCGACAUUUAGAUAAGAAAAACUUUUUAUUUUUUAAAUUUCGAUUGAAAAAUUUUUGAUCCUUAAAAAAGAUUAACAGAAUAAGUUACCUUAGGGAUAACAGCGUAAUCUUCCUUGAGAGCUCUAAUCGACAGGAAGGUUUGCGACCUCGAUGUUGGACUAAAAUUAAACUAAGGUGCAGUAUUCUUAGAUUUAGGUCUGUUCGACCUAUAGAUUUUU